rnacentral:rRNA from 1 species
GCUAUCGGGGAGGAUAAGAAUGCUAGUCGAGCGCUUCAGCCAAAACGAGGCGCGGCAUACAGCUCAGUAACACGUGGCUAAUCUGCCCUUAGGACGAGAACAACCCCGGGAAACUGGGGCUAAUUCUCGAUAGGUGAAGAACUCUGGAAUGAGUCUUCGCCCAAAAAGCUUCACGUUAUGCUCGUGGAGUCGCCUAAGGAUGAGGCCGCGACCGAUCAGGUUGUUGGUGAGGUAAUGGCUCACCAAGCCUUUUACCGGUGCGGGCCGUGAGAGCGGGAGCCCGGAGAUGGGCACUGAGACAAGGGCCCAGGCCCUACGGGGCGCAGCAGUCGCGAAAACUUUGCAAUACACGAAAGUGUGACAGGGCUAUCCCGAGUGCCAUCCGCUGAGGAAGGCUUUUACCCAGUCUAGAACGCUGGGGGAAUAAGGAGAGGGCAAGUCUGGUGUCAGCCGCCGCGGUAAUACCAGCUCUCCGAGUGGUGUGGAUGUUUAUUGGGCCUAAAGCAUCCGUAGCUGGCUAAGUUAGUCCCUUGUUAAAUCCACCGAAUUAAUCGUUGGAUUGCGGGGGAUACUGCUUGGCUAGGGGACGAGAGAGGCAGACGGUAUUUCCGGGGUAGGGGUGAAAUCCUAUAAUCCCGGGAAGACCACCAGUGGCGAAGGCUGUCUGCUAGAACGCGCCCGACGGUGAGGGAUGAAAGCUGGGGGAGCGAACCGGAUUAGAUACCCGGGUAGUCCCAGCUGUAAACGAUGCAGGCUAGGUGUUUGGACGGCCACGCGCCGUUCUAGUGCCGCAGGGAAGCUGUUAAGCCUGCCGCCUGGGGGAGUACGAUCGCAAGAUUGAAACUUAAAGGAAUUGGCGGGGGAGCACCACAGGGGUGAAGCUUGCGGUUUAAUUGGAGUCAACGCCGGG